rnacentral:piRNA from 1 species
UGCACUGAGUAGUCAGGUAGUGAUCGGC